UGAAAAUGGCGAAACGAAACUUGUGAAUCGUGCAUUUGCUCUUCAUGGUAGCUGCCAGAAAAUCGAAUCAAACUUAUGGGACACUGGAUUACAGGUUGCUGCCACUACUCCAUGUGCCCGCAAUUGUCUUGCGUGUAUGAUUACACUAACGACGUCGCCCACCACGGCGGAAGUGUUUUGCGUACACGCGUUUCAGCAUGAAGCCUGCAGGUGGACGUAAAUUGUAGAAGGCAGCUAGUGGGGGAGAAGAUCAUGGUCAUAGGUCAUGUGGCUCCUGGAGCUCCCAGUGGGCUCCCUUGUGGAGUACUUUUCAGAACACGCACACAGUUCGCUCACAGAACC